rnacentral:rRNA from 1 species
GAUGAACGCUGGCGGCGUGCCUAAUACAUGCAAGUCGAGCGAAAAGACGCGGAGCUUGCUCCUCUGACGUUAGCGGGGGACGGGUGAGUAACACGUGGAUAACCUACCUAUAAGACUGGGAUAACUUCGGGAAACCGGAGCUAAUACCGGAUAAUAUAUUGAACCGGAUGGUUCAAUAGUGAAAGACGGUUUUGCUGUCACUUAUAGAUGGAUCCGCGCCGCAUUAGCUAGUUGGUAAGGUAACGGCUUACCAAGGCAACGAUGCGUAGCCGACCUGAGAGGGUGAUCGGCCACACUGGAACUGAGACACGGCCCAGACUCCUACGGGAGGCAGCAGUAGGGAAUCUUCCGCAAUGGGCGCAAGCCUGACGGAGCAACGCCGCGUGAGUGAUGAAGGUCUUCGGAUCGUAAACCUCUUUUAUUAGGGAAGAACAAAUGUGUAAGUAACUAGGCACGUCUUGACGGUACCUAAUCAGAAAGCCCCGGCUAACUACGUG